UGUGGGCAGUCCGAGGGUGCUUCCCGGAGGGGUGAGCACCGCAGAGGAAGAGCAGUGGCCGUGACGGUCCCCAGCGUGGGCAGGUGUCACCCCCUGCACGGGGCCUCCCUGCUCCAGCUGGACACGCGUCCUCCGCCGACGGCACGCCCGCCUCGUGGCCUGCCGGACAAGGACCGCAGGGCUCCCAGCCCCCGUAACGCAGCAGCCAACACGGCACAGCAAAUCCCUCUCUGGAAAUGUAUGCGUUUCCUCUUGGUUCUUUCUCUGGGGAGCCUGACACAGCCUCCAGUGACCUCCUUAAGCAGCAGAGGCCACUAAGAGUCUUCCCGUUUGUCCCUGGACCCUGUCCCGCCAGAAGGCGGAAACAGUGAGGAGAUUCAGGCCAGGGCCCAGAAGAGAAAGGGCCUUUGUCCUCCCCGGAGCCGAAUCGCGCUGGCUUUCACACACACACACACACACACAGACACACAGACAACGGACACUUAGCCCUCUGUGUUUCUGGUUCUCAGUAUUCACAGACGGUGACCCAGGGCAAGCACGAUGGAAGGGGAACAGCAUCUUGUGUGCAGAACCCGCCCGGAAUUCAGUGCCGUCAUUUGUAAAAAUCCUUCCAGGAAGAGGAAGUGAGGGCCCCAGCGGCAGAAAGGCCCACGGGGGGAACAGGUGGAAACCGCCAAGGCAAACGUCCGUCCAUGUAGCACCCGAGACGCGAGAUUCUGUUCAGCCCCGUGCCGGCCGUGUGUGCGUGCCAGGCCGGUCCCCACCAGUGUUCGCAACCCUGCUGUAGGAGGCACCUCAGGACUCUGCUGUCCUGACCGAAGCCACGCAAACCGGCCUCACGAUGGAUCGGCCCCCGGUGAGGCACCCUCUCGGAUUCUCGAGCAGACGGUGUGCCCCCUGCCCCGCGGGCUGUAAGUCAGACUGAGUCGCCUGUUGAAUCCCAAAAACCACCCAACAUUUUCAAGAGUAAACAUUUCCUAAACAGCAACAGCUGUGGGGCAGCAUUUAGCUGAAGCAGGACCCGGGUCCUGACCUCGCAGUUCCCAGGAUCGCUGCCUGAAGGGGAACAGCAUUGUUAGCCUGACAGACUUUACGUGGAGUUAGUCCUGCGUUAUUCCAGACGCGGUUGUCUAAACCCGGGGGAACGUGGCAGCCUCUCGGGGCCUGUGCAAUACUAUUUAAAUGGCUCUACGAUGCUGAUACCGUGGUGGACACGAUGUGCAUUUUGAUAAGUGCAAUGGUAUCAUUACUGCUCAGAGUUUAGAGAGUUUCCGGAUUAUGCCACCGGAGCAGAAGGAAAUGUCUGCGGAAUGAACUGCCAAGGUGAGCAUCCGGUUUGCAGAGACACCAGAGGACCCAGGCCCGGAUCUCGUUGCUCGAUGUGCCCGAGAACUGCAGAACUCCGGGCAGAUGGGACUACCCAAACCCGGGCACUGGGACCUGGAGCCUGUGAGGCUGUGUCCUGGGGGAGCGCUGGACCCACCCGCGAGAGUCCCGUAAGAAGCCGGGAGCCUCCAGGAGAAUUCACCAUCCAGCCAGCGCAUGACCCCGCUUGGAGCAUUUACUGGAAAGGACUCGGAGCCCCGACUGCUGUCUCUGGGAUGUGUACGCCCCUCCCACCCACAGGAGCGUCUUGCCCAAGGACCUGAGAGCCGUUCCUUGGAAACGGAAUCAUCAGGAGGGACCUCCGUGUCCUGGUCCCUGCAGAGAGGGUGGGGUCCCAACUCAGGUCACGGCCAGCAGGCAGGCACGCCCGUCUCCUCGCAUUAACACUGUGCAGCCCUCUGCGGGUGGUCACUGUGCCCACUUCCCCGUCCCUCCUCCCUCAGUGCCCCUUGACAACACCAUCACCUCCGCACAAAUGCCACUCUGUGCCCUGGCUCCUUCUCUACUGUCAGGAGGGGCAACAAAACCUGGUGUCACCACGGUGAUGUCCAGCGGUGACGGCCUGACGUGCUUCGGAGGCCAGCAGUUCAGGCACCCGCAGCCGCGCCUUUCCCGUGGCAGGAGACCAGGGGCCCCCGCCGUGUCUUCUGGGCUGCGCUGACACCCACCCCCCUCACGACAGGGCAUCAGCCUCUCUGACUGCUCCUUACAGCGCACCUCACAUCCUUCGUCGUGUUUGUGCAGCUGACUUGAAGGGAGGGGGCCCCACCACAGUGGGGGUGGACCGAGGAGCCCCUGGGCCGGGGCUGGAGUCUCUACUCCACACUGAGGUGUCAGCAUGCUCCCGGAGAGUCUGAGGGGACGGGGAGGGACGUCCCUCAGACAGACGCUCGGCGUGACAACAGCCGAGGGUGAGGUUCACCUCAGACCCUCUCCACUGAUGUUUAAAAUCCAUGCAAGCCCAGCCUUUCCACUCAGCACCAGUUAGGGUCUGAAGGGGGCAGGAGAUCUGGUGCUGGGAGUCGAGCAGGGGGUUCCGAGCCCCCACAAAGGCAGCCAGAGGCCGAGGCCUGAACAUCUAGGCCCAGUGUCCUCUGUGGAGUCGGGCCAGGUGGAGGCUGGGAUGGCACCCCCAGAGAGGAGGUGCCUCCAGGCCACCAGAAAGAGGACGGGGGACAGAAGGGCCUCGGACGGGCCAGGGCGGGGAGCAAGAAGGGAAUCCUCAGGGACGGGAGGACAAGGGGGUCCUGUGUGGAGCCAGGCCCGGCCCCUGUGUCCUGUCUGCCUCUGGGACCCACGGCUGGCGGGCACUUUGCUCUGUGUUAACGGACCGGCGGCCAGGGCAGCCCAGAGCUUAGGGCCGACCCUCAGAAGAUACACCAGUGGUUGCUGAAUGACUGACUAGUUGAUGAGCCUGCAAAGAGUCCAACAAAAGCCUCACCCGCCCUCACAGCCCAGACAGGACAGCACGACCCUCCCCCCGUGCUCUUGACUCCCACUGCUUCUGACACAAACAAAAACACCUCAACUGCUCUUUAAAUUGUAGCCUCGCGGUCUGUGAACAGAGUCUGAAACCCCAGCGGUGUCUGCACACUGAGCCUCUGGCCCGUGGUUCUCGAACAAUCCCUGCAGUGGGCCGCUCUGGGGGGCACGACUCCAGGCCACAUCCACGUGAGGGGUGAGUCACCCCCGCCGUGCGGGGCAGGAGGCCGGGGGCACAAAGGGCUGGUGAACGUGCCCACGGCCAGAGGACGGUCGGGCAGCCCUCACGCGGUCUGGCCUCCGCCACACUUACUCAGGCUGUGAGUAAGAACCA